AACGCUAGCUACAGGCUUAACACAUGCAAGUCGAGGGGCAGCGCAGUGUAGCAAUACACGGGUGGCGACCGGCGCACGGGUGCGUAACGCGUAUCCAACCUUCCCGUUACUCAGGGAUAGCCUUCCGAAAGGGAGAUUAAUACCUGAUGGUGUUUGAAUUCCGCAUGUUAUUCAAACUAAAGAUUUAUCGGUAACGGAUGGGGAUGCGUGACAUUAGGUAGAUGGCGGGGUAACGGCCCACCAUGCCUACGAUGUCUAGGGGUUCUGAGAGGAAGGUCCCACACACUGGAACUGAGACACGGUCCAGACUCCUACGGGAGGCAGCAGUGAGGAAUAUUGGUCAAUGGUCGGAAGACUGAACCAGCCAAGUAGCGUGAAGGAUGAAGGUUCUAUGGAUUGUAAACUUCUUUUAUACGGGAAUAAAACCUCCCACGUGUGGGAGCUUGUAUGUACCGUAUGAAUAAGCAUCGGCUAACUCCGUGCCAGCAGCCGCGGUAAUACGGAGGAUGCGAGCGUUAUCCGGAUUUAUUGGGUUUAAAGGGAGCGUAGACGGGGGAUUAAGUCAGUUGUGAAAGGCUGCGGCUCAACCGCAGCACUGCAGUUGAUACUGGUUCCCUUGAGUGCGGUUGAGGUGUAUGGAAUUCGUGGUGUAGCGGUGAAAUGCUUAGAUAUCACGAAGAACUCCGAUUG
rnacentral:rRNA from 1 species